ACAUUUGUGUAUUUAUAACUAAAAUAGUCUUUACAACGGAUCAAAUGAAUGUUUUUAUUUUUUCAAGAAACCUAUAGCAGGUUGCAUGUUAAAUUCGUAGAAUAUCACCUGACCCUACCGCCUUUCAUAUUUAACCAUAACUGAUAGCAUGCAUUAUAACAGUGUAUUAAAAAUAGGUUAUCUCGAUCUGGUAAAAUUGUCAGUUUAAUCUGAAUGCGUUAUUUGACAAACGAACCAACGGAAUAUGGGGUAAAAGUUUAUAGAAUCUGCAAUUGUGAAUUGUAAAAUGGAUACAGACUGGAAGGAGAAGGUUAUCGUAGCUGCAAUCGACUUCGGCACAGCCUGCACCGGAUGUGCCAUUUCCUAUAAGGCUGACUACCUAAAGAAGAAAGAAAACAUGAUAACACCGUAUUGGCAUAGUGGGGGAAGCUUAAGCAAUACGAAGACACCAACAGUUCUUUUGUUGCACAAAGAUUUGAGUUUCAAAUCGUUUGGGUUUGUAGCAGAAGAAGAUUUUGCAGAUAUUGCAACAGACCCUGACUCAAACAUUGCAGACUGGCAUUAUUUCAGAUAUUUCAAAAUGAAACUUUACGAUGAAAAUAAAGACUCUAAAAUACGUCUACAAAGUACAGUUACAGAUCAGAUGGGGCGCGAAAUAAAUGCCAUGCACGUCUUCAGCACAUCAAUCAAAUACCUCAAAUAUAAGAUCAUGGAAACAAUAGGGGACACGUUUCUUAUUAGAAACGAAAGUGACGUGUAUUUCAUAUUGACAUGUCCCGCAAUAUGGUCUGACAAAGCGAAACGAUUCAUGCGAUUGGCGGCUGAAAAGGCUGGCAUCGCAAAUGAUCAUUUACGCAUUGGGCUAGAACCGGAGUGUGCGGCCAUAUUUUUACACAAUGUCACCAUGCCGGAUCUAAGCGCUUUUGGAAACGAAACAUUUGAUAUGAAGGAAGGAGACGCGUACAUGAUCGUUGACAUGGGAAGUAACCAGCUAUGACUGAAACAUAUGGUAUACUCAUAUUUAGUUUCAUACAUCGUUGAAACCCAUGGCGGCACUGUGGAUAUAGCGGCGCAUAAAAUCAAUCGGCACAGACGUUUUGAAGAGCUCAUGAUUCCGGACGGAGGGCCAUGGAGCUCUAUGUGUAUAAAUUACAAAUUUGAACAAGCUUUAGCUGCACUGUCAGGCGAAGCCGCAUUUGAAACAGUCCGCAGUGUGCACUGCAAAGACUACACAGAUCUAAUGAGAGAUUUUGAGCUUAGGAAAAUAGCGUACAAUCGUGAAAGAGAAACAGCUCGUUUGAAAUUCCCAACGUCUUUCGGUGAUUGUCACAUUCGUGAAAAUAACGAAACGUUAACAGAAUCAUUGAAGCAAGUCAAACACCAAUUAUUUGAUAAAGUUUUGUAUAAAGACAAUAUGUUCCGAUUUCCUAAAGAAUCAUUUGAACACUUAUUUGAAGAAACUAUUGAACAUAUAAUAAAUAAAGUAAACGACAGUUUGGAACAAUGUGAGUAGUUCAAACGAACUAAAAUUAAAGCCAUAUUUUGUGUGGGAGGUUUUUCGGAUUGCAGACUGAUGCGAAACCGGUUGAAGACCGUUUUCGGUAAUAGGGUAAUUAUCCCUAACGAUGCAAUAACAUCUAUUAUGAUUUUUGGACGCGAUGAAACAAUUAUUGAGUACAGGAUUAGUAGAUUUACCAAUGGGCUGGACUGGAGUGUAGAUUUUGACAGCAAAGUCCAUGAUCCAAAACGGAAAGAAGAGACUGAAAGCGGCGAUGUUUGAAAGGGUAUAUUUCAUACAAUUGCUGAAAGAAAUCAACAACUACCAACCGACUAAGCUACAAUGAAGAUUGAGUCUUUUGUCAAGACUUCCACCCAGAACAGAAUUAAGUUUCCAUUCUACCGAACAACUCAGGUACCAGCUCCAUUGUACAUCGUUGACCCUGAGUGUUCUUUGGUGGGCUCCAUGGGAGUGGGUUUAGAUGAUACAACCGGUGGACUUGAUCGCUAUGUGACAUUGGAAGUCUACUUUGGGGCGUCAGAACUACGAGCAGAAGCCACUGACAAUAAAGGAAAGAAACAUACGGUUACUUUCAAUUGAGAUGAAAGUGAAGUCUGAACUACAUACAUUGUUUAAUGUCAAGUCUUGAUGAUGCAGUGCUUUUAUGAAGUGUAUUUUUGUUUUCUUAAAUGAAACGCGUUCGAGUUCAGUGAUUUAAUCUACAUGAACAUGUUUCUCGAAAACACAAUACCUAAUUAUUAAACUAGGAAGAAUUGCAAACACAAAGAUAAAUGUCGUGAUUUCAAUAAAACAGUGCAAGAAUAAUGCCUCACAUGUCGCGUGUAUUACAUUUAGUUCUUAUUCUGUUCUUAAAACCUUGUUGUUGAAAAUAAAAAACUAAGACGGAGAAAACGACAUUAUGAAAAAUGUUCAUUAUAUUGAUAUUAUUGGGUAAUUAAUCAUACGUAUCAUUGGGAUAUGAAUUAUAUGAAUUAUACAUGACGUAAAUGUUUGAUAUACACAUCGGUGUAAAUGUCAAUCCUGUUUUGGGUAUUGCUCAAGGACUUGCUUUUCUAUUUAUUUAUUUUAUUAUUUCAACGUGUUAUUACGUCGUUAGCCUUAUGCACAUACACAUUUAAUUCAAGGCAUACGGUUCUGUAAAAAAAGACCGAGCAUUUACCAAUAUUCAUCAUUAAUAACAAUUGUUAUCAUGUGUCAUAAUGAAAACUUCUUCGAAUUUACCAACUGUAUAAUACUAAUUUUCU